GUAUAUAUAGUUUAUAAAAACAUUAGAUUGUGAAUCUAAAGAUAGAGUGUUAACCUCUUAUUUACC
rnacentral:tRNA from 2 species